GACGAACGCUGGCGGCGUGCUUAACACAUGCAAGUCGAACGAUGAAGAAAAGAAUCGAAGCUUCGGCAGAAAUUCAUUUCGGAUUAGUGGCAGACGGGUGAGUAACGCGUGAGCAACCUACCUCUUACAAAGGGAUAGCCUCGGGAAACCGGGAUUAAUACCAUAUAACAUUGUGACGAAGCAUUUCGAUGCAAUCAAAGCUACGGCGGUAAGAGAUGGGCUCGCGUCCCAUUAACCGGAUGGUGAGGUAACGGCUCACCAUAGUGACGAUGGGUAACCGGCCUGAGAGGGUGAACGGUCACACUGGAACUGAGACACGGUCCAGACUCCUGCGGGAGGCAGCAGUGGGGAAUAUUGCACAAUGGAGGGAACUCUGAUGCAGCGACGCCGCGUGAGUGAUGAAGGAAUUCGUUUCGUAAAACUCUGUUCUAUGGGAAGAAAAGGACUGUACCAUAGGAGAAAGCUCCGGCUAAAUACGUG
rnacentral:rRNA from 1 species